GACAGUGUGGUGUAAUGGUUUGAGCGUUUGACUAUGACUCUGGAGAGCAGGGUUCAAAUCCCCACUUGGCCA